rnacentral:rRNA from 1 species
UGGGGAAUAUUGCACAAUGGGCGCAAGCCUGAUGCAGCCAUGCCGCGUGUGUGAAGAAGGCCUUCGGGUUGUAAAGCACUUUCAGCGAGGAGGAAGGUGGUGAACUUAAUACGUCAUCAAUUGACGUUACUCGCAGAAGAAGCACCGGCUAACUCCGUGCCAGCAGCCGCGGUAAUACGGAGGGUGCAAGCGUUAAUCGGAAUUACUGGGCGUAAAGCGCACGCAGGCGGUUUGUUAAGUCAGAUGUGAAAUCCCCGGGCUCAACCUGGGAACUGCAUUUGAAACUGGCAAGCUAGAGUCUCGUAGAGGGGGGUAGAAUUCCAGGUGUAGCGGUGAAAUGCGUAGAGAUCUGGAGGAAUACCGGUGGCGAAGGCGGCCCCCUGGACGAAGACUGACGCUCAGGUGCGAAAGCGUGGGGAGCAAACAGGAUUAGAUA